CGUGCCCGCGUUCCGGUUUGCAGUGCGGCCGCCGGCUGCUUCCGCCGCUGUGUUGCGCUGCGGGGGAGACCAGCACGCGCGUGCGAAAGAAACCAUGGUCGACAUCAGCAGCCCUUUUCUCAACCUCCAGAAGGGGACGUCGGUCCUUCUCAACGUCCUGAACCGUGCUGACACCAACGGAGACGGCGUACUUGCAAAAGAAGAAUUCCUCAAUUUCUUCUGGGAUGCUAUACUCACGGAAGAUGAACUCUGUCAACUUUUUGAUGAAAUCAACAUUCACAGAACAGGCUUUAUAGAUGCUGGUGAGCUCAGCGCCUUCGUGUGGCAGCACAUGGGGACAUUUCCAGGACUUCUGGCCGCUCUCGAGGACCUUAGCGUGACUGUUACAAAGGGGCUGCAACAAAUGGAAAAGGCAUACGAUUCCAGCAGCAUUCAGGAGCAGUUCGUGUCGAGAUUCUUGGUGAGAGAGACGGUGUUUCAACUUUCCAAGCUGACCGCAGCGCUGGAUGCCUCCCAGAAAAGGCUACAGGAAGAGGGCAUCCCACUCAUCGACGGAAGUGACAGCAGCGACGAUGGCGACGAGGCUCUACGCAGUCCCGCUCCCAUAUGCAAUUUUCAGGCUGCAGUUGGUCCCAAAAGCCUCCAAGUGUACAAGCCUUGCCCUAGUCGCCUCCUCCCUGUCAGACUACGAAAACAGGUGGUGACACAAACAUCACUUCAUUUAGAAGAUUCCAGUCAUGACUUGAAUGCUCAAAUCAAGAAGUUGGAGGCAAUUGUAGAAAAGCUCGCAAACCAGCCCAGAUUUCAAAAGCCACAAAACGACGAACUGGACAUCACAGAGGAAAGCUUGUUAUUCCUAGUGCAGCAAACAAUGCCAGUGGAGGAAGGGCAGUUGGACAACUACAAGGAGUCACUGAAAACUUAUGCCGAAAAGACGGCCACCUGCACUGGAUGUCUCUUCGUGUCUGUUCGCUUCUACAAGGACAUAAUCACAUAUGCAGUUUAUGAAGUAUGGGAGAGUGAAGAUACAUGGAAUAAGUAAGAGGCUUCAUUCAAUACUUCAUUGAACAGCAUUCUUGAUUGCCUUGGGAAUCAUUUUACAGGAAGAUAAAGUGAAGAAUGGAAGAGAAAUAUAGUUAUUCAUAUGCAUAAUAUCUCCCAUCUGUAUCUUGUGCAAACUCUUUUCAUCUUCACAUUUUAGGCACUUGCGGUCACACAUAUACAAGACACUGCAGCAUCAAAACAUAGAGUGCUUGAGAAAGCCUGAAUUCCUCAACACAAUGGAGAUACCAGGAUCGUGGUGGAAAAUGGGAUCAGAAAUUUGACAUUCCAUACCUUUAGGCAGCACAUUUGCCCUGCAUUCAAGCAAACAACCUUUCAAGGACCACAACUUCUCACACUGAAAUAAAGUAGAUAUGUCUGUG
rnacentral:misc_RNA from 1 species